ACCGGCUUUUUGGGAUUCGCUCCACCUUACGGUAUCGCAGCCCUCUGUACCGGCCAUUGUAGCAUGCGUGAAGCCCAAGACAUAAGGGGCAUGAUGAUUUGACGUCAUCCCCACCUUCCUCCGAGUUGACCCCGGCAGUCUCCCAUGAGUCCCCGGCAUAACCCGCUGGCAACAUAGGACGAGGGUUGCGCUCGUUGCGGGACUUAACCCAACAUCUCACGACACGAGCUGACGACAACCAUGCACCACCUGUGUACGAGUGUCCAAAGAGAACCCCGUCUCGGGGGCUUUCUCGUACAUGUCAAGCCUUGGUAAGGUUCUUCGCGUUGCAUCGAAUUAAUCCGCAUGCUCCGCCGCUUGUGCGGGCCCCCGUCAAUUCCUUUGAGUUUUAGCCUUGCGGCCGUACUCCCCAGGCGGGGCACUUAAUGCGUUAGCUGCGGCACGGAACUCGUGGAAUGAGCCCCACACCUAGUGCCCAACGUUUACGGCAUGGACUACCAGGGUAUCUAAUCCUGUUCGCUCCCCAUGCUUUCGCUCCUCAGCGUCAGUUGCGGCCCAGAGACCUGCCUUCGCCAUCGGUGUUCCUCCUGAUAUCUGCGCAUUCCACCGCUACACCAGGAAUUCCAGUCUCCCCUACCGCACUCUAGUCUGCCCGUACCCGAUGCAAGCCCGAGGUUGAGCCUCGGGAUUUCACACCAGACGCGACAGACCGCCUACGAGCUCUUUACGCCCAAUAAUUCCGGACAACGCUUGCGCCCUACGUAUUACCGCGGCUGCUGGCACGUAGUUAGCCGGCGCUUCUUCUGCAGGUACCGUCACUUGCGCUUCUUCCCUGCUGAAAGAGGUUUACAACCCGAAGGCCGUCAUCCCUCACGCGGCGUCGCUGCAUCAGGCUUGCGCCCAUUGUGCAAUAUUCCCCACUGCUGCCUCCCGUAGGAGUCUGGGCCGUGUCUCAGUCCCAGUGUGGCCGGUCGCCCUCUCAGGCCGGCUACCCGUCGACGCCUUGGUAGGCCAUCACCCCACCAACAAGCUGAUAGGCCGCGAGCCCAUCCCCCACCGAAAAACUUUCCAACCCACACCAUGCGAUGCGAGCUCAUAUCCGGUAUUAGACCCCGUUUCCAAGGCUUAUCCCGAAGUGGAGGGCAGGUUGCUCACGUGUUACUCACCCGUUCGCCACUGAUCCACCCAGCAAGCUGGGCUUCACC
rnacentral:rRNA from 1 species